rnacentral:rRNA from 1 species
AGUGAACGCUGGCGGUAGGCCUAACACAUGCAAGUCGAACGGCAGCACAGUAAGAGCUUGCUCUUACGGGUGGCGAGUGGCGGACGGGUGAGGAAUACAUCUGAAUCUACUUUUUCGUGGGGGAUAACGUAGGGAAACUUACGCUAAUACCGCAUACGACCUACGGGUGAAAGCAGGGGAUCUUCGGACCUUGCGCGAUUGAAUGAGCCGAUGUCGGAUUAGCUAGUUGGCGGGGUAAAGGCCCACCAAGGCGACGAUCCGUAGCUGGUCUGAGAGGAUGAUCAGCCACACUGGAACUGAGACACGGUCCAGACUCCUACGGGAGGCAGCAGUGGGGAAUAUUGGACAAUGGGAGCAAGCCUGAUCCAGCCAUACCGCGUGGGUGAAGAAGGCCUUCGGGUUGUAAAGCCCUUUUGUUGGGAAAGAAAAGCAGCAGGUUAAUACCCCGCUGUUCUGACGGUACCCAAAGAAUAAGCACCGGCUAACUUCGUG